rnacentral:rRNA from 1 species
AGAGUUUGAUCCUGGCUCAGGAUGAACGCUGGCGGCGUGCUUAACACAUGCAAGUCGAACGAAGCACUUCAAAAGCUUGCUUUUGAAGUGACUGAGUGGCGGACGGGUGAGUAACGCGUGGGUAACCUGCCUUAUACAGGGGGAUAACAGUUGGAAACGACUGCUAAUACCGCAUAAGCGCACAGUGCCGCAUGGCACAGUGUGAAAAACUCCGGUGGUAUAAGAUGGACCCGCGUCUGAUUAGCUAGUUGGUGAGGUAACGGCUCACCAAGGCGACGAUCAGUAGCCGGCUUGAGAGAGUGAUCGGCCACAUUGGGACUGAGACACGGCCCAAACUCCUACGGGAGGCAGCAGUGGGGAAUAUUGCACAAUGGGGGAAACCCUGAUGCAGCAACGCCGCGUGAGUGAAGAAGUAUUUCGGUAUGUAAAGCUCUAUCAGCAGGGAAGAUAAUGACGGUACCUGACUAAGAAGCCCCGGCUAACUACGUGCCAGCAGCCGCGGUAAUACGUAGGGGGCAAGCGUUAUCCGGAUUUACUGGGUGUAAAGGGAGCGUAGGCGGCUUGGCAAGUCUGAUGUGAAAGCCCAGGGCUCACCCCUUGGGACUGCAUUGGAAUCUGUCAAGCUAGAGUGCAGGAGAGGUAAGUGGAAUUCAUUCUGUAGCGGUGAAAUGCGUAGAUAUUAGGAGGAACACCAGUGGGCGAAGGCGGCUUACUGGUCUGUAACUGACGCUGAGGCUUGAAAGUGUGGGGAGCAAACAGGAUUAGAUACCCUGGUAGUCCACACUGUAAACGAUGAUUGCUAGGUGUGGGGGGUCUGACCCCCUCCGUGCCGGAGUUAACGCAAUAAGCAAUCCACCUGGGGAGUACGGCCGCAAGGUUGAAACUCAAAGGAAUUGACGGGGGCCCGCACAAGCAGUGGAUUAUGUGGUUUAAUUCGAAGCAACGCGAAGAACCUUACCAGGUCUUGACAUCCGACUAACGAGAUAGAGAUAUGUCAGGUGCCCUUCGGGGAAAGUCGAGACAGGUGGUGCAUGGUUGUCGUCAGCUCGUGUCGUGAGAUGUUGGGUUAAGUCCCGCAACGAGCGCAACCCCUGCCAUUAGUUGCCAGCAUUCAGUUGGGGACUCUAAUGAGACUGCCAGUGACAAACUGGAGGAAGGUGGGGAUGACGUCAAAUCAUCAUGCCCCUUAUGACCUGGGCCUCACACGUACUACAAUGGCUGCAAACAAAGGGAAGCGAAGCAGUGAUGCGGAGCAAAUCCCCAAAAGCAGUCUUAGUUCGGAUUGUAGGCUGCAACUCGCCUACAUGAAGUCGGAAUUGCUAGUAAUCGUAGAUCAGCAUGCUACGGUGAAUACGUUCCCGGGCCUUGCACACACCGCCCGUCA